GCGUGUUUGGCGGCGUCGUUUAACGGUGCCUCUAGUCUACUGCGCUCCGUCUGAGCGGCGCCAUGAGAGCGGUUACGCCGGCGGCUCUCCUGGAUAACGCCCGCAUAUGUGCCCUCGCAAAUCCUAUUGUAGUGGCGGUCGGGGCGCUGGUCAUCCGGCCGUUCCCCUUUGUGGUGUGGUACGACGUCUCCGUCGAAGCUGCAUUGUACUCCCACGCUCGCAUCGUCGAGCGGAGUUUCCUCGUCCAGCGGCAGAUGGAAGGUGUCCUAGAGCUAGCUUGCACGGAAGUUGACUCAUGAUAUGGGUGUUAAUCUCGUCGACAAUCUCGUUUCUUGGGAACAUGAUCGCUCUUUCUUCUAGGUAUGUUCUAUGAGUGUACCAGCUUUGUAAGUCAGGGAAUUAGAUGCUAUUAACAAUGGAUGUUAUGGGGUUAUCUCCUUCAUGUAAAAUAAGGUCUUCUGGGGAUGCUAAUCCAAUCUUCUUCAUUUGUUGUUGUUGCUGCACCAUUGCCGAUGUUUUGCAUCCAGCUUGGAAAUUCCGUCGUCUUUUCUUUCUUUAUUGGACUACCUUCAACUGAAUUCAGACACAUAUUUUUUGUGAGUCGGUACUCC